GUGCUUGCUUCAGCAGCACACAUACCAAAAUUGGAAUGAUACAGAGAAAAUGAGCAUGGCCCCUGUGCAAAGAUGACAUGCAAAUUUGUGAAAAAAAAAUUCUCUAC
rfam:Pteropus alecto contig89916, whole genome shotgun sequence.